UCCGCCUUGACGGCGGCAGUCUCGUUAGAGUGCCCAACUGAAUGCUGGCAACUAACGACAGAGGUUGCGCUCGUUGCGGGACUUAACCCAACAUCUCACGACACGAGCUGACGACAACCAUGCACCACCUGUCUCUAAGUUCCCCGAAAGGCACUCCCAAAUCUCUUCAGGAUUCUUAGGAUGUCAAGCCUUGGUAAGGUUCUUCGCGUUGCUUCGAAUUAAACCACAUGCUCCGCUGCUUGUGCGGGCCCCCGUCAAUUCCUUUGAGUUUCAGUCUUGCGACCGCACUCCCCAGGUGCAGGACUUAACGCGUUAGCUCCGGGACGCUCCACGAACGUGAAGCACCCCAAGUCCUGAUCGUUUAGGGCUAGGACUAC
rnacentral:misc_RNA from 1 species